GCAAACUUGGUCAUUUAGAGGAAGUAAAAGUCGUAACAAGGUCUCCGUUGGUGAACCAGCGGAGGGAUCAUUACCGAGUGUUUCACUCCAAACCCACUGUGAACCUUACCACUGUCGUUGCUUCGGCGGGCGUCCGCGCCCGCCGGCGGCACCCAAACUCUUCUAUAUCUCUAGAGUCUCCUCUGAGUAACCGAUUUAAACAAAUCAAAACUUUCAACAACGGAUCUCUUGGCUGUGGCAUCGAUGAAGAACGCAGC
rnacentral:misc_RNA from 1 species